UGUGUGACCAAUGCCACCUGGUGAGGCUGCGCCCAGGUGCCGAGGUCCCCACAUGCAGCGCCACUGCUGUCCCAGGUGUCUGGGUCGGGCCAUUUUGAGAGUCAUCUCCAAGCGUCUUGGACAGGUUACCAUAUCUGAUCCUGAAACAGCUUGCUAUAUUUUUGGAGCCCUGUAAGCAGCUUUUAAUCCUUUCUGGAAUCAUAAGUGUCAACCAGGAAGUGCAGGGCGAGAACCAGGGGUGAAGUAAUGGGGCCUGAGACACGCAGGUGGAACCAGAACAGGACGUCUAGAAACACUGGGGCUGUGCGCUGCAGGGAGAAGCCAGGUGUGCUGGCAGCAGCUCAGACCACGGCAAACUGAGUGCUGGAAGUCAACACGGCCUCACUCUGUUUUCCCUGAGAGCCCCGAGUUCCCUGCUCUUCUCCUUCCUUUCCCCAUGGAUUCGUCAGGUCAGCCUCCCUGAAGGAGAAGAGCCACAGAUGGAAGGUGAGCCUGCUGCCGGCUGCUGUCACUGCUGUGGAAGUGGUGACUCUCCCUCCGCGUUGUGGAGGCCUACGCCGGUGAGACCUCCAGAGUGCCGGGCAAAUCCUCACUCUCUGAGACCACUCCUUGCAUCCCCUACCCCUGGCUCCAGCUAACUGCACUUAAGCUGAGCUGUUAAAAACCUUGCCAAAAUAACAGCGCCACCCCGGUUAGUAGAAUGACUGCACUGGGUAUCAGCUAAGGAGUUAAAUCUAAAUCCUCAAUUCAAGCUUGUCAUAUCAGUUGAUCUUACUCAGGACAUGUGUCUCAGGCUCCUGGGUCUAAGUCCAGCUUAGGGGUAGGGGAGGAGGAAAAUGCCCAGGAAGCUCGGCCUCCCCCAACCACAGCACGUUGCAGGGGUUGGCAGCUCGAUGGGGCCUUGCCAGGUUCAGAGGCAUUGCUGGCAGUCCUGGGAAUAACUGAUGAAAUGUUGACCCGAGACUGAGCACUUGAAAAUAAAUUCCUGCACCCCGGCCCCAAGGGAGUCUCAGGAAAUGUCAGGAACUGGGAGAGGAAUGCACGUUUCUGGGUGCUAAGGCACAUUUGGGGCAGAACCAGAGAGAGACCAAAAGAGAACCUAGAAGCUGGCAGUCUUAAUGACUGAUUGUCUUUCUGUCAUUUUUUCAAUUCUGAAAAAUGGCAAUUGUAAAUUCUACAAGCCAGAACACGCCACUCGCCCAGAACAUCUUUUCCGAGUUGCCCUGGGGAGUGUUGUAUGGCCGGUGCUGCAGGAGUGAAGGACACAUGGUCCUUAGGUCACCGCUCUGAGGACAGAGCAGAAGCUCAGCCCUCCCAGCUGCGCUUCUCGCUGUGCGCUUCCUGGGAGGCCUCAGCAGCAGAUUGCCACUGGGCAGGUGUAGCCACAUCUGCACGUAUCGGCUCCUCCAGCCUUCCUGACUUUGUAACAAGCAUCGCCAACAGACCACAGGAAAGUAUUCCUUCCAGAAUUCCUGAAUGCCAGGCGUAUGCAUUCAACUGCCUACCGAACUCCUCCACUUAAAUAUCUAGUGGACAUCACAGAGUUAACAUGCCCCAAA